GAUGAACGCUGGCGGCGUGCCUAAUACAUGCAAGUCGAGCGAACGGACGAGAAGCUUGCUUCUCUGAUGUUAGCGGCGGACGGGUGAGUAACACGUGGAUAACCUACCUAUAAGACUGGGAUAACUUCGGGAAACCGGAGCUAAUACCGGAUAAUAUUUUGAACCGCAUGGUUCAAAAGUGAAAGACGGUCUUGCUGUCACUUAUAGAUGGAUCCGCGCUGCAUUAGCUAGUUGGUAAGGUAACGGCUUACCAAGGCAACGAUGCAUAGCCGACCUGAGAGGGUGAUCGGCCACACUGGAACUGAGACACGGUCCAGACUCCUACGGGAGGCAGCAGUAGGGAAUCUUCCGCAAUGGGCGAAAGCCUGACGGAGCAACGCCGCGUGAGUGAUGAAGGUCUUCGGAUCGUAAAACUCUGUUAUUAGGGAAGAACAUAUGUGUAAGUAACUGUGCACAUCUUGACGGUACCUAAUCAGAAAGCCACGGCUAACUACGUGCCAGCAGCCGCGGUAAUACGUAGGUGGCAAGCGUUAUCCGGAAUUAUUGGGCGUAAAGCGCGCGUAGGCGGUUUUUUAAGUCUGAUGUGAAAGCCCACGGCUCAACCGUGGAGGGUCAUUGGAAACUGGAAAACUUGAGUGCAGAAGAGGAAAGCGGAAUUCCAUGUGUAGCGGUGAAAUGCGCAGAGAUAUGGAGGAACACCAGUGGCGAAGGCGACUUUCUGGUCUGUAACUGACGCUGAUGUGCGAAAGCGUGGGGAUCGAACAGGAUUAGAUACCCUGGUAGUCCACGCCGUAAACGAUGAGUGCUAAGUGUUAGGGGGUUUCCGCCCCUUAGUGCUGCAGCUAACGCAUUAAGCACUCCGCCUGGGGAGUACGACCGCAAGGUUGAAACUCAAAGGAAUUGACGGGGACCCGCACAAGCGGUGGAGCAUGUGGUUUAAUUCGAAGCAACGCGAAGAACCUUACCAAAUCUUGACAUCCUUUGACAACUCUAGAGAUAGAGCCUUCCCCUUCGGGGGACAAAGUGACAGGUGGUGCAUGGUUGUCGUCAGCUCGUGUCGUGAGAUGUUGGGUUAAGUCCCGCAACGAGCGCAACCCUUAAGCUUAGUUGCCAUCAUUAAGUUGGGCACUCUAAGUUGACUGCCGGUGACAAACCGGAGGAAGGUGGGGAUGACGUCAAAUCAUCAUGCCCCUUAUGAUUUGGGCUACACACGUGCUACAAUGGACAAUACAAAGGGCAGCGAAACCGCGAGGUCAAGCAAAUCCCAUAAAGUUGUUCUCAGUUCGGAUUGUAGUCUGCAACUCGACUACAUGAAGCUGGAAUCGCUAGUAAUCGUAGAUCAGCAUGCUACGGUGAAUACGUUCCCGGGUCU
rnacentral:rRNA from 1 species